GCUGGAGACCCAGGCUGCGGGCGCGCGGCGAAGUUCCCAACUCCCGCGCUAGGCGCGCCGGCUCGCGGGGGGAGGGAGUCCCGUGGCGGGAUUUGGGGGGAGGAAGUCCCGUUUCGUGAGUGUUUCUUCGUUUCUUUAAGAGCUACCAGAAAGCAGCCCACCCCCACCCCAUAAAAAAAAAAAAUAAGCGAGUGGGGAAGAGCCAGCCCCACGCCGGUCCGCCUCCUACCCGCGGCCCGGCCUCCCUCCCGCUCGCCGCCUGGCUCGGCGCUCCUUCGCCCCGAGUUCUCCAUCCCCUGGAUCGCGGGCUCGCGGGGGCGCGGAGAAGAGGACCGAGGAAAGGACCCUCUGGAAGCCACUGGAUCUUUGAGGAAAUGGUGGUCCAUAGAGCCAGACACAUGGAUACAGCAGAGUCCCUCCCAUCAAGAAGAUGACAGAGUGGCCAGGGAGACAGGCGUGCACACAGCCUAGAAGGCUUCCUCGGGGACUCCUGAGGACUUCAGCUGGCACUUUCACCAUACCUCACGGCAGCUGCCUACCUGUGGGCUUCUGUGGAGUUUCUGUCAUGCUCCGGACCUGGCACUGCAUAGUGGCGGCAGGCACUCUGUGGAUUUCCAACUAGACAGCCUUAUUCAUUUUCACGGUGAUUACCAGUGAUGGUACUCGGUCAAAGCAGGCGGAACCGACCAAGAUGCUGCGGAUUCGAGGGAUGGGUACCUUUCUAUUGAGUUUCCACAUUGAAGCCCUCAUGUUCCCCUCAGAUUGGUCCAUUCCUGAGCGGGCAUUAGACACGCUUUUGUAACUGAUGUCAGAACUGGCCAGGAGUGAGAAGUAGGGCCUAACCCCUGAUUUCCCACGGGGAUCUGGAAUCAGCACAGCUAAUAGGAGAAGAAGGGCCAAACGACAAAGAACUACCAACAGCCAUGUGGAGAAACCAUCUGAGCCACAGCGUGAGCAGGGUGAGAAGGUUUCCGUCUUUCAGACUGGAUGCUGGUCUACCUUGCGCAGAAUGGCGGCCCCGUGGAGAUGGCCCCAGGGCAGAAAAACAGGUUCUCCACAGCCAAAGUGCUCCUCCGUGUGGGAGCCAGGGAGGCAGGGAUAGCAUGAUCCCAGGCUCUGUGCCCAAGCGUGACACAGUAUUUUCAAAGGUUUGGUUGAAUGAAUCAAGGUCGAGGUGAGGCUAUGAAUAAACCCUUUUCCUAUUCCAGAUAGAUUUUCUCUCAUUUAUUUUGUUUUUCAAUCACGUAUUUGCUUGUUUAUUUAUUUUUAGGGAUGUUAUAAGAUUUUUAGCAGAAUGAAUUCAAACCUUGAAGGAUGAUGAUUUCUCGUCUAAGGAAAGGUCCUCAAUUUCUAAGUUAGGGGCUUUCCAGCUUCUUAAAAUACGACCCACUCUCUUUUUUUUUUUUCUUUAAUAUGGCCCACUCUUAAAAAAAAAAUACAUUUUAUAUCAGGAUCUAGUACCUACAAACAUACUGAAACAAGAGUUUCAAAAAACAAAACUUGCCCAUUAUAUAGGUGGUCCAUUCUUCACACAGUGCUCUCUGAGCAUGGUCUUGAACCAGCAACGUGGGCAUCAUUUGGGAACUAGUUGGGGAUGUAGAAUCUCAGGCCACAACCUAGAUAUGCGUAAUCAGGAGUUCCUGGGAGCACCUGGCUGGUGCAAUGGU